GAAGUCGCCAGUCUCGGCUUCUCUCCGCUGUGUCUCUAAUCAUCGCUCAAACGCCGUCGCUCCUCCCCUCUUCGGCUUACUUCUGUCGCAGGUGACUUUCGCCAGGGAUUCUUUCCUUGUGAGGCGAAAGUCACCUGUGACAGACAGGAAUCGAAGAAUUGAAGAGCCAAGGCGUUGUUGAGCGGAUUUCUACUCAAUUCUCAAUUAAAUUUCAUUUAUGGUGAUAGGUCUUUUUUCGCUGAUUAUGAUUACCAUGCCAAGCUGCUAUUGCUAGAUGCGAUCUAGAGUUCUUGUAUCAGCUAGAAGACUGAGAUUGGCUUGCUAUAUGAGAGUGUUGUUUGGUGGAUUCUCAGUACCAAGCCAAGCCAUUGUUGCUGAUGGAGGUCUAGAUGUCUUUUAUUAGCUGGAUAAUAAAUUAUAUUAAAUUCUUUUACCUUGCAAGGAUCCUAAGAUUUUUAAUUAGGCCGUGUAUCCGAAGAGCAGAUGAUGCUGGCUUAAUUUGUUUCAUUUGUUUACUUAACCAAGCAAGCGUUUGUGUCUCAAAAAUCAUUAAUUGAUUCAAGAGUUAUCAAACUUCAGUUGACAAUUUUGGUAGGCUUGGAGAAAGUGACAGGCAAUAGUUAUGCAAUGAUAACAGUAUGGGGUAAAGGUUUGUGCCUCAGUUUUCUUUUAUUUUAUGGCUGUAAUGUUGAAAGAAAUUGAUCACAAAAAAUAGAUUGCAGAGUUGGGGAGUAGCAGUGGAGUCAGCUUCCUGUGAAUUGUGUAGAGGUACUGAUGAAACUAUGGAACAUUUGUUUUUCAGUUGAAUUGUUUCCUCUGUAGUUUGGAACAAAGUGCUGCUGCUCUGUUUAACCUGUAGGAGUUGUUUGCUUAGUCUGCAGAGCUGGAAUGGAUAUGUGAUCUCUAGAAGACUAAUUCCUUUAUUGAUCAGGUAAAGUGGUUGGCUUUCUCUGCCAUGCUAUAUCACCCAUGGAGAGCAAGAAACCAAGGCUAUCUUUCAAAGAAUCCCUGUAUUCACUGUUAGUGUAGUUGCCGCUGUGGUUGCAUCAGUUAGAGAUACAGUUGGAGGUUGGAAGAAGUUUCCUUGUACUAAGCCAAAUUGGGAUUUGGCUUGAAAGUUAGGACUGCCAUUUCAGUGCUUUAAAUGAAAGGGUCCUCUGUAAUAAAAUAGUGUUUCUGAAUUGAUGUAUUUGGAAUAUUGUAUUCCUUGGCUGCACUACUGGCUACUUUAUUGUUGAUCAGUGAAGAGGGUUCAUGUUGCUAAAGAAAAGAAAAAAUGAAGAGAGUCUCAGGUUGUGAGGAACUUUAGUAAUAUGUUUCUGUUUGUAAUUAAUUUAGUUAAUUGUUCUGCAUUUAGAUCAAUUUUUGUUCCACAUAAUCUUAGCAUGUAGUUGGUCAUCUCAUGCUACUUGCAUUUUACAUUAUUUCACAAAGGAUAUUGCAGAAGGGCUUUGGAGAUGAUCGUAUGACUGCCUCUUUUGGGGAUCUGAUAAGAAUUAUUCAAGCUGCAUUUUCUUGAUUUUCAGGUCUGACAAAUAAUAUUGAUGCUUUGCCUUGCAUAGCCUCAUGGACUGCAGGUGAACUUCUCUCACAGAUGUUAGUUAUUGGAACUUAAAGCACCAGAUGGAGCUUCUAUGGCCUUUGGCAGAUCUGGCUUUUUUGUCGACAUCUUUUUGGACUUCUAGAUCUAAUUCAUUUUAAGUCCAAGGUGUUUGUUACUAUGCACUCCUUGUUGUAGACAGGAUUGGUGUAUCAGAUUAAAGAUACCUCUUUGUAACAAAGUUUGGUUUGUAAACUGCACUUGCAAGUAUGCGUUCUCUAGAGUUUUGGACAACUAGUGUUAGAUUGAGUGCGAUUUUCUUUUGUUGUAUAGCUUAUUGUUUGGAGCCCAUGCUAUAUAGCUUAUCACAGUGCUGAAGAGGUUCAAUUUUUUUGUAAUUUAUAUUGACACUUCACAUAGCUCUUUACAUGAAAUCCAGUAUGCAUUUUGGGUGAGAUUUAGA